CGGGGAUAACGGGGGGGUGGGGUGUGCAGAUAGGGUGUCUCGCGUGGAAAGGGGGGGGUGCGUGGGAAUGUCACCCGAGUCAUCGCCCUGCAGCGCAAACAUUAACUCGCCCAUCGCAUACGCUCAAAGAUGAGGACCCUCUGCCAAAAAUGCCUGACUUCUGCAAGAUGCACCAGUCCUGACGUGGGCAGGAUGGGGAAAAAACAAACCGUACCGCACAGGGGAUGCUUUCUGCAUCGAGAAGUACCUCUUCUCAUGGAACAACCUUUUCCCCAUCACAAGAAGAGGAUUUCUGGUAGGUGGAAGCCCAGACCUUGGCCGCCGGAGGUCCACAUUCAAUUUCUAUUCCUCAGACGUCCCGGGCAAGUGACUCUGCUUCUUUCUUGUGCAACUCCUUAGCUAUCAAAUAUUGCUGCUUCGCCCAGGCGUGUUGCAGGCAUUAACACAGCCAAGGAGGCAAGCCAGCCUCAGGCGGGCGGGAUGGGCGUGCUUGCUCACCGCUGCGCACGAUGGUAACCACUGGUUUCACAAUUAGAAGAGGCCUUGGCAGCACCAGGGCAGGAAGCAGCACCAGUGGCUGGAAGUGACUAAGCCCAGGGCUGGGGGUCGGGUGAGAGCAGCAGUUUCUGGUCAGGGCAGCCCGGCAUUGCCUGCAGAGGACAUCGUGGAAGGAGGUGACCUUGCAGGGAAGUGCAGGGGUGGCAUCUGGACCUCUUGCUGGCUGGGACGGCACUGGCAUCAACAGGACUUGCAUCCAAGUACAAGCCUGCCUGUGGAAACACAGCCUUGUGAGUAAAUAAGGUCUAGUACUCAGCACUCCAAGAAUGUGUGUAACUGCCCCUAACCAUCAUCUUCAUCCACGUCUGGAAGAUACUGAAUGUCUUCCUCUAGCAGCUCCAAGCACUUGCCCCCCAUGGUGCCUGCUGUGCCUGAACUGGUCAGCUUUAGCCCAGCAAAGCAAGCGAGACGGAGCUCACCUUCACCGGCAGCGUGACUUGUGGCUCACAGCACGCUGGGGCAGAUCCUCAGGCGGGGCACGGGGCACAGCUCGAAGGUACGGAGCCAGAUGCAGCGCAUCGCUGCGGGCCAAGCUGCAGAGGAGUAAACCAAGUACAAUACCUGCUGCUACGGCCGCAUUUCUGCCUUUCUUUCUGCUGCCGCUUCCCACGACCUGCGUACUGGCAUGCACGUCCCUGCAGGUUACGAGGCUGCAGCACGGUGCAGCGAGGAGCGCGCGGGCAGUUGUGCCAGCGUGUUCACUGGGACUCCGUUAGCCUCCAGGGCUCUGCUUGCGUGAUCAGUUCAGGUCUCUAAUAAUCCGUUCACAGGCUGCUGCCUCACACUCUGCGUGCGUUGCCGGUGGCACACAGAUCGUCGGGCUUGAUUUGCCGGUGUGUUUUAACCAGUGACCCCAGAGAUCCCCGCUCCCCCGGAGCAGCGCUUGCUGGGUGACCGGUGAGCUCUUCCCACCGCGCACAGAGCAGGGGGCUGCUCUGAACAGCUCUGCCAGACGUUGUGUCCCUGAGAAGGGCAUUCAUCCCGCUGAGAUAAACUGCAGCCCUUUCGACCCCUGUUCCAGGAGCUGGCUGUCACAGCCCUUGCUGGACCACAUCUGCACAGCUGUGUUUCUGUGAGGCACCCUGAGGGGACGGUGCCAGAGAGCUGGUACGAGGCACCGGGAACCUUUCCCCGGCUGAAAGCGAGCUGUACAGAGCGAUGCCACGCUGCUGCUCUGCGUUCCCCGCACGGUGUGUGUUCCUGUAACCAUGAACGUCAGAGAGCCUGGAGCUGCCAUGUUGUUGCGUUUAAGGAUGGCGAUGACUAACUUUUAGGUAUCGCCUUUCAGAACUCUUAAAAAUAGAAGUUAAGAACUUGCUUCACGUAAUCCUUACCACGUAAUACCUUCCUGACUGGGAAGAAGAGACCGGCCACACUAGCAACAGGACAUGAGUGUUUUGGAAAUUAACUCUGAUCCAGAGAGAAGCAUAAUUACAAGUUAUUUAUACAGAGCUUUUUUUCCUUCAUGGGCUGCACAAAAAGUGGAUCAACAGAAUGAUUCCCAUUUCACAGCAAAACAGCGGCAGGUUGCUCAGACAGCGGCAGAGCUGGAAGAGGAUCCGGAUCUCUGGAUCCUUCAGUUGAUUUCAGCCUACUUGAUUCCUUGUAAUAAAAGUCCGAUCAGUAAAAGCUAGUUCUGUCAUGGUAUUAAAGGCAAUUAGACAUACAGGAUUCAUCAUUUAUGUUUUCAAACAUUUAAAGCUCCCUACAGAAUGACUGCCUUCUGCCAGUUCUUCUUUAUAGGGAUGAGAAAAUCGUCCCUUCCCUGAUUUCUUGCAAACCAGCGUUUCCCAGCUGUGUGUAUCAUCAGUGAAUCGAAUAAAGACAAAUCUGGUCUCUCAUUUCCAGUUAAGGCUGUCAUGUUGUAUGGCACUCCGUAAUAUGUCAAGAAACCAAGGCAGCUGAUCUGGUGUGUCACUGCUGCAAAAGGAAAUUAAAACAAAUACAGAUUUAUGAAA